GGGUUGUGAGGUUAAGCGACUAAGCGUACACGGUGGAUGCCCUGGCAGUCAGAGGCGAUGAAGGACGUGCUAAUCUGCGAUAAGCGUCGGUAAGGUGAUAUGAACCGUUAUAACCGGCGAUUUCCGAAUGGGGAAACCCAGUGUGUUUCGACACACUAUCAUUACGUGAAUACAUAGCGUAAUGAAGCGAACCGGGGGAACUGAAACAUCUAAGUACCCCGAGGAAAAGAAAUCAACCGAGAUUCCCCCAGUAGCGGCGAGCGAACGGGGAGCAGCCCAGAGUCUGAAUCAGCAUGUGUGUUAGUGGAAGCGUCUGGAAAGUCGCACGAUACAGGGUGAAAGUCCCGUACACAAAAGUGCAUGUGUUGUGAACUCGAAGAGUAGGGCGGGACACGUGGUAUCCUGUCUGAAUAUGGGGGGACCAUCCUCCAAGGCUAAAUACUCCUGACUGACCGAUAGUGAACCAGUACCGUGAGGGAAAGGCGAAAAGAACCCCGGCGAGGGGAGUGAAAAAGAACCUGAAACCGUGUACGUACAAGCAGUGGGAGCACCCUUCGGGGUGUGACUGCGUACCUUUUGUAUAAUGGGUCAGCGACUUAUAUUCUGUAGCAAGGUUAACCGAAUAGGGGAGCCGAAGGGAAACCGAGUCUUAA
rnacentral:rRNA from 2 species